rnacentral:rRNA from 1 species
CCGUAGCCUGGUAGCGGGGGAUAACUAUUGGAAACGAUAGCUAAUACCGCAUAAUAGUAGAUGUUGCAUGACAUUUGCUUAAAAGGUGCAAUUGCAUCACUACCAGAUGGACCUGCGUUGUAUUAGCUAGUUGGUGGGGUAACGGCUCACCAAGGCGACGAUACAUAGCCGACCUGAGAGGGUGAUCGGCCACACUGGGACUGAGACACGGCCCAG